rnacentral:rRNA from 1 species
UACGAAGGGUGCAAGCGUUACUCGGAAUUACUGGGCGUAAAGCGUGCGUAGGUGGUUUGUUAAGUCUGAUGUGAAAGCCCUGGGCUCAACCUGGGAAUUGCAUUGGAUACUGGCAAGCUAGAGUGCGGUAGAGGGUAGUGGAAUUCCCGGUGUAGCAGUGAAAUGCGUAGAGAUCGGGAGGAACAUCCGUGGCGAAGGCGACUACCUGGACCAGCACUGACACUGAGGCACGAAAGCGUGGGGAGCAAAC